rnacentral:rRNA from 1 species
CGGACGGGUGAGUAAUGUAUGGGGAUCUGCCUGAUGGCGGGGGAUAACUACUGGAAACGGUAGCUAAUACCGCAUAAUGUCUGCGGACCAAAGCGGGGGACCUCCGGGCCUCGCGCCAUCAGAUGAACCCAUAUGGGAUUAGCUAGUAGGUAAGGUAACGGCUUACCUAGGCGACGAUCCCUAGCUGGUCUGAGAGGAUGAUCAGCCACACUGGGACUGAGACACGGCCCAG